AUCGCUCUGAAAGACAAGAUGGUUGUAUCACGAAAGGAUGUUUCUAGCUCAUGAAGCAAAAGGUGUAAAUUUACUCAAUAUAAAGAAUGUUAUGGUCAAAAAAGGCAAGAAAUAUGAAAUCCAGAAGCUACAAUUUGUAGAAUAACAGCAGAAAAGAUCACAUGUUUUCUAUUGAUGUGACAAUCAAGAAUACGAAAAAGAGAGUAGAAGAGAGAUAUCAAAUUGAAAGUAGCAACAAAAAUAAAAAUGAAAAUAAACUAGAUUAGAAAUACACUUUACAUCGACAGAUAUCAAUAAAAUAUAAAUUGAUAUUAAUCAUUUCAUAGAAAUGAGCUAUAUCUGUAUUAAAUCUACCCUCAGCAUUGCAAUAAAAGCUGACUUGAAACAUGCUUCUUUGAUAUAAUUUGUUUUGUUCAUUCACUGGAUAGGCUGUGAUAAGUUUUCCUUCUAAAUCUGUUACCACUUUGAUUCUGGCAUGGAAGGCCACUCUUACUAUUUAUUCCCACUGAACUUUUUUUUCAGUGGCUUGUAAAAUUCAGGCUGAGAAUAAAAACAAAUAAAAUCUGAUACACAAUUUUUCAAAAACUGCGCGCAAACCGGCACACAAUCAGUGAUUAAUGAUUUAUACGUUUAAUUUAUAAAGAUAAUGAUAAUCCAAAAUGAUGAACCAAUAGAAAUCGUUUGCUAAUACCUAAUAGCUAUAAAGUAAUGAAACAAAGUUAUAUAGAAUUGUAUCGAAUUCAAAUCCUUUUCUUCAACAUAAAUCUCACAUCAUAAAUCAUAAGUUGUUUUCUAUUUCAUCUAUUUUCCCGAAAAUCGUGAUUUACCUUCUCAAUUGAUUGGGUAGGCCGUCACCAAACUUCCAUUGUUUCUAUGUGUCAUGACUUUUACUUUGAAACAGGGUCUAUUUGAGUACCCUUGGAAUCCAAUCGGGUAAGAAUAUCGAUGGCUGAUGUACUCCCAACUAGAAAUUAAAUAGUUAAUGAUUACAUCUAUUUUCCCGAAAAUCGUAAUUUACCUUCUCAAUCGAUUGGGGAGGUCGUCACCAAUCUUCCACUAGCUAUAUGAACUACAACUUUAACUUUAUAACACAGUGUUCUUCAUUGAUACCAAUCGGGUAGGAAUAUCGAUGGCUUUAUGUACAACCAACUAGAAAUUCAAAGGUA